rnacentral:rRNA from 1 species
GACGAACGCUGGCGGCAUGCCUAACACAUGCAAGUCGAGCGAGCAGAACCCUUCGGGGUGAAGCUAGCGGCGGACGGGUGAGUAACAAGUGGGCAACCUGCCUCAUAGAGGGGAAUAGCCUUCCGAAAGGAAGAUUAAUACCGCAUAAGAUUGUAGCUUCGCAUGAAGCAGCAAUUAAAGGAGCAAUCCGCUAUGAGAUGGGCCCGCGGCGCAUUAGCGAGUUGGCGAGGUAACGGCUAAGCAAGGCGACGAUGCGUAGCCGACCUGAGAGGGUGAUCGGCCACAUUGGGACUGAGACACGGCCCAGACUCCUACGGGAGGCAGCAGUGGGGAAUAUUGCACAAUGGGGGAAACCCGGAUGCAGCAAUGCCGCGUGAGUGAUGACGGCCUUCGGGUUGUAAAGCUCUGUCUUCGGGGACGAUAAUGACGGUACCCGAGGAGGAAGCCACGGCGAACUACGUGCCAGCAGCCGCAGUAA